rnacentral:rRNA from 2 species
AGUCACGACGCAUAUCAAUAAGCGGAGGAAAAGAAACCAACAGGGAUUGCCCCAGUAACGGCGAGUGAAGCGGCAACAGCUCAAAUUUGAAAUCUGGCCCCUCCGGGUCCGAGUUGUAAUUUGUAGAGGAUGCUUUUGGUGAGGUGCCGCCCGAGUUCCCUGGAACGGGACGCCACAGAGGGUGAGAGCCCCGUCUGGCUGGCCACCGAGCCUCUGUAAAGCUCCUUCGACGAGUCGAGUAGUUUGGGAAUGCUGCUCAAAAUGGGAGGUAUAUGUCUUCUAAAGCUAAAUAUUGGCCAGAGACCGAUAGCGCACAAGUAGAGUGAUCGAAAGAUGAAAAGCACCUUGAAAAGAGGGUUAAACAGUACGUGAAAUUGUUGAAAGGGAAGCGCUUGUGACCAGACUUGGGCGCGGCGGAUCAUCCGGGGUUCUCUCCGGUGCACUUCGCCGCGUUCAGGCCAGCAUCAGUUCGUCGCGGGGGAAAAAGGCUUCGGGAACGUGGCUCCUCCGGGAGUGUUAUAGCCCGUUGCAUAAUACCCUGCGGUGGACUGAGGACCGCGCAUCUGCAAGGAUGCGGCGUAAGGUC